rnacentral:rRNA from 1 species
UCUAGCCUGCCCAGUGACAAAGUUUAACGGCCGCGUACCCUAACCGUGCAAAGGUAGCACAAUCACUUGUUCUUUAAAUGAGGACCAGUAUCAAUGGCAUCACGAGGAUCUUACUGUCUCCCCCCCCCAAUCAGUGAAACUGAUCUCCCCGUGAAGAAGCGGGGAUAUUUUUAUAAGACGAGAAGACCCCAUGGAGCUUUAAACCCAAUGACACCCACUUACCCAAUACCCUCACACACCCCUGGUGACUGAUCAUUCGGUUUUAGGUUGGGGUGACCGCGGAGUACAAAACAACCUCCAUGAAAAAAGGAAAAUGAUCCUCAUCAAAGAAUAACACUUCUAUGAACUAACACAUUAAUUUUUAAUGAUCCGAUAUUCGAUCAACGAACCAAGUUACCCUGGGGAUAACAGCGCAAUCCACCUCAAGAGCCCCUAUCGACAGGUGGGUUUACGACCUCGAUGUUGGAUCAGGGUAUCCCAGUGGUGCAGCAGCUACUAAAGGUUCGUUUGUUCAACGACUAAAACCCU